CCGCAGCAAAAAUCCCCACUCCACCUUCUACCGGAGCGCUACCCCAGGCCGCCGCCGCCCCACCCCGCCCCUGUCCACCUUCUACCGGCGUCGCUGCCGGAUCACCACCCAAGGCCGCUGCCUCACCGCCCGGCACCCAUCCACCUCCUACUAACCCCGCCUCCGGAGUACCAUCCCAGGCCGCCGCGAGCACGCCCCGACCCCAUCCACCUUCUACCGGCGUCGUUGCCACGUUCCCCCGGCCACCCACCCCCCGUCCACCUUCUACCGCAGCCGCGCCACACCUUCCGGCCACCGCAUCCCAGCGCCACCAGAUCAGGCCUCCCCACACCCCUGGACUCCAGAUCGGACUUGCCCCGUGCUCGUUGCCCCAAGCUUCUUUGCCCCUGCCCCAAGCUUCUCCGCCGCCGGCCUCCGUCGUACCCUCACCCCCACCCCCACCCCCGACUAGCAGUGCCACCACCUCACUCCUCUCUGCCUCGCACACUGGAUUGCAUCCCCACCGCCAGAAAGAGGAUUGCAUCUCCUUCCUUGCCAUUGACCGCGAGGUCAAUGGUCGAGGCCAUGGCCACACAUGGGGCGGCAAAAAGUGAGCACCCGCACCUCACAUUGCGUCCCCGGCCGCUAGAUCCGUCGCACAAUGCGAUCGAGGGAGCGGAUGGGUGGCCAGCGAGCGAGAUUCCACUCGGUGCCCUGCAGUUCGGUCCAUGUGUGCGCCACAGCCCUCCAUCGGGCGCGCGUGUAGUGGGAUCCCGUCGUAGACAUCCAUAGUUGGCGCAACGGCAACUCUGAAAGGCAAAAAACUCAACCUGACAUCUGCAGCAGGUGAUUUCCUCACGUUGGCCAAACUUGGGAGCGAUGAUACCUUAAUGCUCCAAUUUCCCAUUAACUUGAGAAUCGAGGCAAUCAAAGGUAUUCUCAGGAAUGCAAUUCGGCUCCCGGCGUGAUGCUAUGUCGGUAUGUCCAGCAGCGGCGCAGCGCCUCCGUCCAGUACACGCAGGUUAAAUUGUUUACUAUUUUUUGCAACAACAAGAUGAGCGAUGGUGGUGGCCGAGUGAUGGUGACGGCAUGGAGGUUUCUGCUGUGUUGUAUGGUGAAAGACGAACAUCAAAGUACAGAAAAACGUGCACUGCAGUCUCUUGUGGCUUUAGUUUACCUUUCUUCAAGUGAAAAAUGCGCAACAUCGGCUGGCCCACAAAUGGAGUUCUGCUGGCUGGUAGUGCAGAUUUUGUGUGUAUGUAUGUGGGUGGCUGUAAAACAAUGAAUGUAUGUAUGUGUCUAUGAGCAUCAUCGGCGUCCAUAGACAAAGGCGCAAUACAAAAUGUGCGCGUGCAGUUUGCUUA